UGUGAAUUGCAAUGAAUAAUAUCUAACAAAAGAAAAGACAUGGUGAUUUUUAAAAAUUGAUCAGAGGCCAUUGGAAAAGGUUUUUAUGGGAAUCUGCAUGGCAAGUAGGAUAACCAUGAGAGAAAUCACGAAGUCCUAAACUCAGAGUCUGUUCCAGCCGAAUGAAGAAAUCAAUAAACUCCUUUUGGAAGAGAGAAACCAAAACCAAAUCCCCAGAUCUGAAGGUCAUCAAAUUCUGGAGAAGCCUGGUGAUGCCAAGAUGGUCCCUUUUCUGUUCAUUGGAUAUCUAUCUCUUCUGGAGCUGAUUCACCCCAUCGCUUAAUGAAAAUAUCCAGGAGGAAAACUGCCCACUUUCUACUCCCAAGCCUAUGAGAAAAGUCUCACCCAGCCCAAGAAAACAUACUUCAAAAGGUCUGAUGUUCUGUGUACCACCAUCUGGCACUAAACAUUCAUUCUGUCUGGUGAUUUAUUGAUCCAUACUGGAAAUCAUCAGAAUAGCUAUGCACCAUCACGGAGACAAUGCAUUCAUUUCUAGCAUACAUUAGCACAGACUUUCCUUGGGGAGUGGUGAGAUGUUGCCACUCCAUUUCAAGUUUCCCAAUCCCUCUGAAGAUUUCAGUUCAAUGGAAAUAUGACAGUUGUCUGCCUCGUGACUCUGACUAAGUGUCAACAGACCCUGGGCAAAAACUGUUGGGUCUCUGAGGCUGUUGCCCACUCACAUCACUCCACUGAAUCAUGUCCAAUUCUUAUGGUUCCUUGUCAUCUUCCUGUUCUCCUCCCUCUGUUCACCAAACCCAGAGGAAACGGGAGAUAAGACUGUGUUCAGUCAUUUCAACACAGGACAAAGGUUUUGCGCAUUAAGUCUCUGCAAAAAAAUGAAAAUAAACAAUCAUAUGCAACAGGGCUGUGACACACAAUUGUGAGGCCCAGCCAUGUUAUAAAAUGAUCCCUUCCUGUCAAUGCAGAUAGAAAAAAAACCCACCCCGCAUGUUACAAAUAUGUGAAGGAACCCUGGUUUAACCAUGUUUAUUUUCCACUGUCCCCUAACAUGGGCUUAGAUUGUGCCAGGGUGUAUGCCUUCAUGCAUGGAGCUCACCUUUCCAUCUGGAAGGACAUAUGUGCUGUUUCUUUAAAACUUUAGCAGGAAGUCAGGUGGGAGGAGCUGGGAAGGUGACAGAGGAAGUCCUGAAUUCCCUGGAAUCUUUUAGGGCAUAUGGGUGGAGCUGCCACCGAGGAUCUGACCCUAAGGAUUUGACUCAUUGAUUUUUGUCUGAGCAAAAUAUAACUGGAGCUGCCAUAUAGGAAAAAAACAGUACGCGCACAAAUAAAAUUGCUGAGUUUGGUUUGCUGUUAUU